rnacentral:rRNA from 1 species
GUAGGGAAUAUUGCACAAUGGAGGAAACUCUGAUGCAGCGACGCCGCGUGAGUGAUGAAGGCCUUCGGGUCGUAAAGCUCUGUCGCAGGGGAAUAACACAAUGAAGGUACCCUGUAAGAAAGGAUCGGCUAACUUCGUGCCAGCAGCCGCGGUAAGACGAGGGAUCCUAGCGUUGUUCGGAAUCAUUGGGCGUAAAGCGGAUGUAGGUGGCUAUGUAAGUCAGAUGUGAAAGCCUGGGGCUCAACCCCAGAAGUGCAUUUGAUACUGCGUAGCUUGAGUGUCGGAGAGGUUACUAGAAUUGUUGGUGUAGUGGUGAAAUACGUAGAUAUCAACAGGAAUACCGGUGGCGAAGGCGGGUAACUGGCCGAACACUGACACUGAGAUCCGAAAGCGUGGGGAGCAAACAGGAUUAGAUACCCCUGUAGUCC